rnacentral:rRNA from 1 species
GUAGGGUGCAAGCGUUAAUCGGAAUUACUGGGCGUAAAGCGUGCGCAGGCGGUUAUAUAAGACAGAUGUGAAAUCCCCGGGCUCAACCUGGGAACUGCAUUUGUGACUGUAUAGCUAGAGUACGGCAGAGGGGGAUGGAAUUCCGCGUGUAGCAGUGAAAUGCGUAGAUAUGCGGAGGAACACCGAUGGCGAAGGCAAUCCCCUGGGCCUGUACUGACGCUCAUGCACGAAAGCGUGGGGAGCAAACAGGAUUAGAUACCCUGGUAGUCCACGCCCUAAACGAUGUCAACUGGUUGUUGGGUCUUCACUGACUCAGUAACGAAGCUAACGCGUGAAGUUGACCGCCUGGGGAGUACGGCCGCAAGGUUG